rnacentral:rRNA from 1 species
UACGGAGGGUGCAAGCGUUAUCCGGAUUCACUGGGUUUAAAGGGUGCGCAGGCGGCUAUGUAAGUCAGUGGUGAAAUCUCCGGGCUUAACCCGGAAACUGCCGUUGAUACUAUAUAUCUUGAAUGCUGUGGAGGUAAGCAGAAUAUGUCAUGUAGCGGUGAAAUGCUUAGAUAUGACAUAGAAUACCUAUUGCGAAGGCAGCUUACUACGCAGAUAUUGACGCUUAUGCACGAAAGCGUGGGGAUCAAACAGG